rnacentral:rRNA from 1 species
AUAGCACGGGGAAACUCGUAUUAAUACCGCAUACGACCUACGGGAGAAAGGGGGCAGUUUACUGCUCUCGCUAUUAGAUGAGCCUAAGUCGGAUUAGCUAGAUGGUGGGGUAAAGGCCUACCAUGGCGACGAUCUGUAGCUGGUCUGAGAGGAUGAUCAGCCACACCGGGACUGAGACACGGCCCGGACUCCUACGGGAGGCAGCAGUGGGGAAUAUUGGACAAUGGGGGAAACCCUGAUCCAGCCAUGCCGCGUGUGUGAAGAAGGCCUUUUGGUUGUAAAGCACUUUAAGCAGUGAAGAAGACUCCGUGGUUAAUACCCACGGACGAUGACAUUAGCUGCAGAAUAAGCACCGGCUAACUCUGUGCCAGCAGCCGCGGUAAUACAGAGGGUGCAAGCGUUAAUCGGAAUUACUGGGCGUAAAGGGAGCGUAGGUGGCUCUAUAAGUCAGAUGUGAAAUCCCCGGGCUCAACCUGGGAACUGCAUCUGAAACUGUAGAGCUAGAGUAUGUGAGAGGAAGGUAGAAUUCCAGGUGUAGCGGUGAAAUGCGUAGAGAUCUGGAGGAAUACCGAUGGCGAAGGCAGCCUUCUGGCAUAAUACUGACACUGAGGCUCGAAAGCGUGGGUAGCAAACAGGAUUAGAUACCCUGGUAGUCCACGCCGUAAACGAUGUCUACUAGUCGUUGGGUCCCUUGAGGACUUAGUGACGCAGCUAACGCAAUAA